AUACGUAGGGGGCGAGCGUUGUCCGGAAUGAUUGGGCGUAAAGGGCGCGUAGGCGGCGCGGUAAGUCUGGAGUGAAAGUCCUGCUUUCAAGGUGGGAAUUGCUUUGGAUACUGCCGCGCUUGAGUGCAGGAGAGGUUAUCGGAAUUCCCGGUGUAGCGGUGAAAUGCGUAGAGAUCGGGAGGAACACCAGUGGCGAAGGCGGGUAACUGGACUGCAACUGACGCUGAGGCGCGAAAGUGUGGGGAGCAAACAGGAUUAGAUACCCUGGUAGUCCACACUGUAAACGAUGAAUGCUAGGUGUAAGAGGUAUCGACCCCUUUUGUGCCGGAGUUAACACAAUAAGUAUUCCGCCUGGGGAGUACGGCCGCAAGGUUGAAACUCAAAGGAAUUGACGGGG
rnacentral:rRNA from 1 species